CGGAGGGUCCCAGCCACAGACCCGUUUGCCUCAGGGAGCCGAGCUCGUCUGGAUCCACCAUGGCCUGGGCCCCCCUGCUCCUCACCCUGCUCACCUACUGCUCGGGUUCUCUGGCCCAGUACGUGCUGACUCAGCCGCCCUCAGUGUCUGCGUCUCCAGGGCAAAACGCUCAACUCACCUGCUCCGGGAACAACAUUGGUAGCAAGAAUGUGCAGUGGUACCAACAGAAACCUGGAAGUGCCCCCCUAGCAGUGAUAUAUGAAAAUAACAAAAGACCCUCCGGAAUCCCUGAGCGAUUCUCUGGCACCAACUCCGGGAACACGGCCACGUUAACCAUCACUGGGGUCCAGGCGCAGGACGAGGCUGAUUAUUACUGUCAGGUGUGGGACAGUGACAGUAGCUCUCACACAGUGACACAGCCUGAUGGGGAAGUGAGACACAAACUGCCUGUUGACAUGGGGGAGUCGGUUAUUGAUUCCUUCUGUGACUGUGUGAGGACUUUUGACACCAACACGACAUUGGGAGCAAACCUCAUCACGGCCAUUGCAGCUGCCCCAAAUAGCAACAAAUCUACCCAGAGGUGGAAGGAAGCUAAUGACUUGCUCAUUCUGGAUCACACAGAGAAGGAGACCAACCUCUGA